rnacentral:tRNA from 1 species
UGGGGCAAUAGCUCAGCGGUUAGAGCAGCGGACUCAUAACCCGUCGGUCGCUGGUUCAAAUCCAGCUUGCCCCAG